AGCAGCCGCGGUAAUUCCAGCUCCAAUAGCGUAUAUUAAAGUUGUUGCAGUUAAAAAGCUCGUAGUUGAAUUUCGGGGUUAGCAGGUCGGUCGUGCCAUCGGUAUGAACUGGUCUCGCUGAUCCCUCCCUCUUGAAGAACUGUGAUGCCAUUAAUUUGGUGUCGCAGGGAAUCAGGACUGUUACUUUGAAAAAUUAGAGUGUUUAAAGCAGGCUCACGCUUGAAUACAUUAGCAUGGAAUAAUGAAAUAGGACGUUUGAUCCUAUUUUGUUGGUUUCUAGGAUUGACGUAAUGAUUAAUAGGGAUAGUUGGGGGCAUUAGUAUUCAAUUGUCAGAGGUGAAAUUCUUGGAUUUAUUGAAGACUAACUACUGCGAAAGCAUUUGCCAAGGAUGUUUUCAUUAAUCAAGAACGAAAGUUAGGGGAUCGAAGACGAUCAGAUACCGUCGUAGUCUUAACCAUAAACUAUGCCGACUAGGGAUCGGAUGAUGUUAAUUUUUAAUGACUCAUUC
rnacentral:misc_RNA from 1 species